rnacentral:rRNA from 1 species
AUUGAACGCUGGCGGCAGGCCUAACACAUGCAAGUCGAGCGAGCGGCGGACGGGUGAGUAAUGUAUGGGGAUCUGCCCGAUAGAGGGGGAUAAAUACGGGAAACGGUGGCUAAUACCGCAUACCAUCGGAUGUGCCCAGAUGGGUGUAGCUAGUAGGUGGGGUAACGGCUCACCUAGGCGACGAUCCCUCGCUGGUCUGAGAGGAUGACCAGCCACACUGGAACUGAGACACGGCCCAGACUCCUACGGGAGGCAGCAGUGGGGAAUAUUGCACAAUGGGCGAAAGCCUGAUGCAGCCAUGCCGCGCGUAUGAAGAAGGCCUGCGGGUUGUAAAGUACUUUCAGCGGGGAGGCGUUACCCGCAGAAGAAGCACCGGCUAACUCCGUGCCAGCAGCCGCGGUAAUUC